rnacentral:rRNA from 1 species
AUUGAACGCUGGCGGCAGGCCUAACACAUGCAAGUCGAACGAGUGGCGGACAGGUGAGUAAUGUCUGGGAAACUGCCUGAUGGAGGGGGAUAACUACUGGAAACGGUAGCUAAUACCGCAUAACAUAAUAUGUACACCGAUGGGAUUUGCUUGGUUGUGGGGUAACGGCUCACCAAGGCGACGAUCCCUAGCUGGUCUGAGAGGAUGAGCAGCCACACUGGAACUGAGACAGGGUCCAGACUCCUACGGGAGGCAGCAGUGGGGAAUAUUGCACAAUGGGCGCAAGCAGUAUGCAGCCAUGCCGCUUGUAUGAAGAAGGCCUUCGGGUUGUAAAGUACUUUCAGCGGGGAGGCGUUACCCGCAGAAGAAGCACCGGCUAACUCCGUGCCAGCAGCCGCGGUAAUUC